GGGACACGUGGUAUCCUGUCUGAAUAUGGGGGGACCAUCCUCCAAGGCUAAAUACUCCUGACUGACCGAUAGUGAACCAGUACCGUGAGGGAAAGGCGAAAAGAACCCCGGCGAGGGGAGUGAAAAAGAACCUGAAACCGUGUACGUACAAGCAGUGGGAGCACGCUUAGGCGUGUGACUGCGUACCUUUUGUAUAAUGGGUCAGCGACUUAUAUUCUGUAGCAAGGUUAACCGAAUAGGGGAGCCGAAGGGAAACCGAGUCUUAACUGGGCGUUAAGUUGCAGGGUAUAGACCCGAAACCCGGUGAUCUAGCCAUGGGCAGGUUGAAGGUUGGGUAACACUAACUGGAGGACCGAACCGACUAAUGUUGAAAAAUUAGCGGAUGACUUGUGGCUGGGGGUGAAAGGCCAAUCAAACCGGGAGAUAGCUGGUUCUCCCCGAAAGCUAUUUAGGUAGCGCCUCGUGAAUUCAUCUCCGGGGGUAGAGCACUGUUUCGGCAAGGGGGUCAUCCCGACUUACCAACCCGAUGCAAACUGCGAAUACCGGAGAAUGUUAUCACGGGAGACACACGGCGGGUGCUAACGUCCGUCGUGAAGAGGGAAACAACCCAGACCGCCAGCUAAGGUCCCAAAGUCAUGGUUAAGUGGGAAACGAUGUGGGAAGGCCCAGACAGCCAGGAUGUUGGCUUAGAAGCAGCCAUCAUUUAAAGAAAGCGUAAUAGCUCACUGGUCGAGUCGGCCUGCGCGGAAGAUGUAACGGGGCUAAACCAUGCACCGAAGCUGCGGCAGCGACACUAUGUGUUGUUGGGUAGGGGAGCGUUCUGUAAGCCUGUGAAGGUGUGCUGUGAGGCAUGCUGGAGGUAUCAGAAGUGCGAAUGCUGACAUAAGUAACGAUAAAGCGGGUGAAAAGCCCGCUCGCCGGAAGACCAAGGGUUCCUGUCCAACGUUAAUCGGGGCAGGGUGAGUCGACCCCUAAGGCGAGGCCGAAAGGCGUAGUCGAUGGGAAACAGGUUAAUAUUCCUGUACUUGGUGUUACUGCGAAGGGGGGACGGAGAAGGCUAUGUUGGCCGGGCGACGGUUGUCCCGGUUUAAGCGUGUAGGCUGGUUUUCCAGGCAAAUCCGGAAAAUCAAGGCUGAGGCGUGAUGACGAGGCACUACGGUGCUGAAGCAACAAAUGCCCUGCUUCCAGGAAAAGCCUCUAAGCAUCAGGUAACAUCAAAUCGUACCCCAAACCGACACAGGUGGUCAGGUAGAGAAUACCAAGGCGCUUGAGAGAACUCGGGUGAAGGAACUAGGCAAAAUGGUGCCGUAACUUCGGGAGAAGGCACGCUGAUAUGUAGGUGAAGUCCCUCGCGGAUGGAGCUGAAAUCAGUCGAAGAUACCAGCUGGCUGCAACUGUUUAUUAAAAACACAGCACUGUGCAAACACGAAAGUGGACGUAUACGGUGUGACGCCUGCCCGGUGCCGGAAGGUUAAUUGAUGGGGUUAGCCGCAAGGCGAAGCUCUUGAUCGAAGCCCCGGUAAACGGCGGCCGUAACUAUAACGGUCCUAAGGUAGCGAAAUUCCUUGUCGGGUAAGUUCCGACCUGCACGAAUGGCGUAAUGAUGGCCAGGCUGUCUCCACCCGAGACUCAGUGAAAUUGAACUCGCUGUGAAGAUGCAGUGUACCCGCGGCAAGACGGAAAGACCCCGUGAACCUUUACUAUAGCUUGACACUGAACAUUGAGCCUUGAUGUGUAGGAUAGGUGGGAGGCUUAGAAGUGUGGACGCCAGUCUGCAUGGAGCCGACCUUGAAAUACCACCCUUUAAUGUUUGAUGUUCUAACGUUGACCCGUAAUCCGGGUUGCGGACAGUGUCUGGUGGGUAGUUUGACUGGGGCGGUCUCCUCCUAAAGAGUAACGGAGGAGCACGAAGGUUGGCUAAUCCUGGUCGGACAUCAGGAGGUUAGUGCAAUGGCAUAAGCCAGCUUGACUGCGAGCGUGACGGCGCGAGCAGGUGCGAAAGCAGGUCAUAGUGAUCCGGUGGUUCUGAAUGGAAGGGCCAUCGCUCAACGGAUAAAAGGUACUCCGGGGAUAACAGGCUGAUACCGCCCAAGAGUUCAUAUCGACGGCGGUGUUUGGCACCUCGAUGUCGGCUCAUCACAUCCUGGGGCUGAAGUAGGUCCCAAGGGUAUGGCUGUUCGCCAUUUAAAGUGGUACGCGAGCUGGGUUUAGAACGUCGUGAGACAGUUCGGUCCCUAUCUGCCGUGGGCGCUGGAGAACUGAGGGGGGCUGCUCCUAGUACGAGAGGACCGGAGUGGACGCAUCACUGGUGUUCGGGUUGUCAUGCCAAUGGCACUGCCCGGUAGCUAAAUGCGGAAGAGAUAAGUGCUGAAAGCAUCUAAGCACGAAACUUGCCCCGAGAUGAGUUCUCCCUGACUCCUUGAGAGUCCUGAAGGAACGUUGAAGACGACGACGUUGAUAGGCCGGGUGUGUAAGCGCAGCGAUGCGUUGAGCUAACCGGUACUAAUGAACCGUGAGGCUUAACCUU
rnacentral:rRNA from 1 species